rnacentral:rRNA from 1 species
AUAGCCUAACGGCUGAACCAGCAACUUGGAGGAAUGAAAAGCAAUAGCUGAUUGCAUUAUAUUAAAUUUUAAAGGGUGGUCCCUUGCCUAAUUAAAAACUUUAAACCCUUUUAAAUAAGUAGGGUCCCUUCCUUAUUUAAUACAAAAUGAGACCUCAUCAUUGCAAUGUAGUUACUACUUGGUAGUUUAAAUUUCUGGGUAGAAUUAUGAUGAUGACAUUAUCUAUCUAUAAGUCUUGACCAAAUUACGUGCCAGCAGUCGCGGUAAUACGUAGAAGACAAGUGUUAUUCAUCUUUAUUAGGUUUAAAGAGUACCAAGACGGUAAAUCAUUAAUAAAGCCUAUAAUACGUGAACACAGGGGGACACAUUAACUAGAGUUAUAUGAAAGGAAGCACUAAGGUACUGUUGAGUGUAGAGAUAAAAUUCGAUCAUACCAGAUGAAAGGCACAGAUUUAUGCGAAGGCAUCUUCUUAUGUAAUAACUGACGUUGUAGGACGAAGGCUUUUGAAGUGAAGAGGAUUAGAUACCCUUGUAAUCCAGGCAGAAAAUGAUGAAUGUCAUAGGUUUAAUAAAAAUUAAUACAGCAGUAUCUAUUAUAUUAUUGAGUCUAUAAAUGAAAGUGUAAGCAUUCCACCUCAAGAGUAAUUUGGCAACAUUGGAACUGAAAUCAUUAGACCGUUUCUGAAACCAGUAGUGAAGUAUGUUGUUUAAUUAGAUGAUACGCAAAAAACCUUACCACAAUUUGAAUAUAUAUCUUUAAAGAUAUUUACAAGCGUUGCACGGCUGUCUUCAGUUAAUGUCGUGAGAUUUUGGUUAGUUCCAUAAAAUUAACGUAAACCCUCGUUUUAUUUUUAAAUAAAAUUUAGAUCUGUUUCCGAUAGAUUUGAGCAUAAGAAAAGGGACUAAGACAAGUCGUCAUG